AUAACAAUAAAAUUGGACCAAACUACUCUCAAACCACUGACUCUCCAUUCUCUCUCUCUCUCUCUCUAGCACUUCACCACUCCUCUGCCACCAUCCCAUCUGCGAUCAAAUUCAUGUUCUUUUUCUAUUCCGAAGUGUCACACCUCUCUUGUCUCUCACUAUUUCCAAGCAUCAGGUUGACGCGCACCCAGACGCAGCCGCUAGUAGAUGGUAUUGUCGGUCAACAAUUGCCAAACCCUAGAAUGCAUUUUUAAGCCGCAGACACACACCUAAGUUGUUCCGUCUAUAUAUAUAUAGCGAACCAAAUGAUACUCGUAAUCUCUAUCGUGGGGGAAGUGAUGAGCAACUUCAUACAGAGUUGGUUUGGCUUGUUUUAGAUCGUCUUCUUGGCAACCAUACGAAUUCUACGAAGCAUAAGAUUAAUAUUGAUCUUUUGUCUUAAUGUCUUCCCUAAGACAAUUAUGUUUUUCAUAAGUUGAUAUAUUUGUAGCAUUAGUUUGAUUGCAUUGGAUCUAGUAAUUUUGAUUAAUGGUGGUCUUGGGACAGGCAAAAGAGACGCUUGCUGCAACAUGUAAUUUUGAUUAUGUUUUUAUUAUUCAAGGUUGUGACAUUUAGGCAAAGCAUGUAGUAAAGAUUACAUUGUUACUUUUUUGUUUAUACAGAAAUGGUAGGCGCAGUUGUUUGGCAACAAUGGUAGCAACUUGUUGCACAAGUGAAUGGAAGCUUUACACUAUUUGAGUAGUUUAUUGUAAACAAAAAAUUAAACUGAGAUGCCCUUUCAUGCUGUGUUCUUGGGUGGUUUGGGACUAUGUGAUCUUUGCCAAUCACAAAAUACACCAAAUGUGUCGGCUUUUGUGAUUGGCCGAGACCACAUGAUUACGUACUACCUAAUACUUUCUAGAUCCUCAAUAUCUUUAUAUACCUAAUACUUUCUUGAUCCUCAAUAUCUUUAUAUAUGAAACUUUUUCAAGAUCUACACAUGGCAUUUAAUGUGAUAAAUUAACUGAAAUUCUAGUAAAGAAAAUGAUUCUUAGUGUUAUGCCAAUUUGUCUAACUUAAGGAUUCUUAUCCCUUCGAUGUAGUGGAUAAGACCCACAUUUGAGUUUAUCCACCAUAUCAAUGGGAUAAAAACCCCUCAGGCUUGACAGUUCAGCCUAACAAAUAGACCCCUCAGGCUUGACAGUUCAGCCUAACAAAUAGGCUGAGUAUCAGUACUCUUCUAGCAAAGCUUGUCCCACUGUCAAUAAUCAACUUCACUUAUUUUUCAUUACAGUCAUACAAGAAAAGUACUAAAACAUUAACAAAAAUAAUAAUAAUAAAAUUAAUGUUACUAUUAUUAAUAAUAUCGUGGAGUGGAUAGAUAAGGCUAUUUAUUUAUUCAAUUUGUAUAUUUACAUUUUAAAAAAGAAGUAUACAACAUAAAUUAUUGUGGUCUACUCAUAAUAUCGUCUCUAGUUGUUUACUUUUCUUUAUCUUUGAUUAUUAAGUUUAUUUUUCAGUUUUAAAAAGUAUUUUCAUUUAAAUUUCUACUUUUGUGGUCUAAUUUUCUAUUUAUUUGGAGAGUGAAAUAGUCUGAGAUUUUUGUUGCAUAUGGUAGGAAAUAAGUUUUUAUUAUUUGGUACAAGAGAAAUUGAAAAGAAGAGUUGAAGAGAGAAUAAAGGAAAAUUAUAAAUACAGUAUAUUAGUUAAAAUGUUUAUCUCUUUACUAUGAUUAUUUCCAUCUUCCAAGCAUUAGGUAGACGAAUACCCGAAAGCAGUAUGCGGUAUUUUUGGUCAACAAUUGCAAAACCCUAGACUGCAUUCGGUCAACCAUUGCAAAACCCUAGAAUGCAUUUUUAAGCUGCAUUCACAUAGCGAAGUUGUUCUGUCUAUAUAUAGCGAACCAACAGGUACCCGUAAGUCUCUCUCUCUCUCGUCGGGGAAGUGAUGAGCAACUUCAUACCGGUAUGUCAUAAUUCAUACAUAUAUAUGUUUAUAUAUCUAUGUAUGUAUUUGUGUAUAUUUUGCCUCUCCUUUCAGCUGCAAAGGCAUAGAUCUGAUGAUCUGUUUCUUGAUGGCUUUGUUCUAGAGGCAUAUAUUUAAUCUCCAAAGUUUAUGGAGUUUAAACCAGAGCUGUGGUUCUUGCUACUUUGGUCUCCCCUUAUUUGGUACAUUUCCAUUAGAAAAUUAAUUUAUUUUGCUUUACUGUAGUAGCUUUGUGUUGCCUAGAUAUUGCAUGAAAUUAAUAUUUAUAUUAAUUUUAUAUCUAAACAGAGUUGGGUUGUCUUUGUUUUACAUCCCCAUUAAUUUUCUAAGUCUUCUUGGCAACUAUAUGAAGUAUAAGAUUAAUAUGGAUCAUUUGUCUUGAUGUCUACCCUAAAACCAUCAUGUUUCUCAUAAGUUGAUAUAUUUGCAGCAUUACUUUGAUUGCAUUGGAUCUAGUAAUUUUGAUUAAUACCUGUCUUGGGACAAGCAAAAGAGACACUUGCAUCAGCAUGUAAUUUUGAUUAUGUUUUUAUUAUUCAAGGUUGUGACAUUUAGGCAAAGCAUGUAGUAAAGAUUGCAUUGUUACUUUUUUGUUUAUAGAGAAAUGCCAGGCGCAGUUGUUUGGCAACUAUGGUAGCAACUUGCCGCACAAGUGAAUCGAAGCUUUACGCUAUUUGAGUCUUUUAUUGUAAACAAAAAAUUAAAAUGAGAUGCCCUUUCAUGCUAUUCCUAAAAUCCUUAGUGAGAAAUUAUUAGGUGGUUUGGGACCAUAUGGUCUUUGCCAAUCAGAGGAUGCACCAAAUGUAUCAGCAUCUUGUGAUUGGCCAGGACCACAUGAUUCCGGAUUACCUAAUAAUUUCUAUAUUCUCAAUCUUUAUAUAUAAACCUAUUUGUUAGGCCAAUUUGUCUAUCUCAAGGAUUAUUAUUCCUUUGAUGUAGUGAAUAGGACUCACAUUUGAGUUUAUUAACCAAGGAUAAGAAUCCCUUUAACUUGACAAUAAUCAACUUCACUUAUUUUUCAUUACAGUCAUACAAGAAAAGUGCUAAAACACUAACUAAAAUAAUAAUAAAAUUAAUGUUUUACAUAAUUGUAUUAUUAAUAAUAGGCUAAAAGCAUAGAGUGGAUAGAGAUAAUUUAAAUGAGUAUUAAGUCAAUCCGUACACAAAUAUUCUAGGAAUAAUGACUAUUUUAAUGUGUUCUUUUAUGCAGUUAUUUGCAAACUUAUUUGACUAAUGCCAUGCACUCCUACAUUAAAAAAAUAUAUAUAUCAUAAUACCUGAAAAUCACAUUAAAUGCCAUGAGUGUUCUAAACUAUUUUAUGUUUGAUAAUAUCUUUUAGAAAUAAUAUUUGAUUAAUUAUUGUAAAUUUAAAACCCUGUUAUUGGAUUUGGUUGGAAGGUAGAAUUUAGAGAGAGAGUGAAGAGUUAAACACAGAAUGAACGUGUGUUGAGCUAUCUUUUACAAUGUUAGUAAUGGUGGCAGUAUAUUUAAUUUAUCAAAUUGAAAGUGCAUGUCAAUUUUGAACUUUUGUUUUAUUCAUAAACUCAAAGUAAGGUGCUUGUGUUCUUAACUGGUGUUGCGAGUGUGAUGCCACCGUUGUUAAGCAAUUCUGGCUAGCAUUUCUCUUAUUUAUAAUGCAAAAUUCUAUGAACAUCUUUGCCUUGUUUUUAGAUUUGUGCUUUCCCUGACAUUGUGGAUUUUAAUUCUUUUCAAACAUAAGCCUAUGUUAGUCUCAAAGUCACUACGUAAACUGUUUGUUACAACAUAAAAAAAGGACCGGGAUACAUAAAAUUGAAAGUCCUUGAAAUUCUCUUAAGUUGAUCCAUUAUCAAUUUAUUCUUAAUGUUGUUACACAAGCCUCUCCUUUCGGCUGCAAGGACAGAGAUCUGAGUAGGAUCAAUUUAUUGAUGGCUUGUUCUGAAGGCAUAUAUUAGUCUCAUCCAAAUUCUUGCGGUUUAAUUUUAUCUGGAGUUUGUGACCUUCCUUUUGUUUCUUCCCUUUAUUUGUUAUUAAUUUUUUAAUAGAUAUAUGGUUUCUCUUGUCUUUUUAUUUUUAUUUUUUAUUAUUAGAUAUAUAUUGAUAAUUUUUAGUAAAAACAUUUCUCUGUCUACGUUCUACUCAUAGUUGCCGGAAAGUUGGAGUAAUAUGAGAUCUUGAAGCGUUUUAGUAUGUCAAGGAAGUUAGCAUGUCAAGUUAGCCUUAGUUUUGGAUAAUAUGAUUCUUGAUGUUUGCUUUCCAGGAUAUAAUGCUAAAUGUUAGUUUGGAGAAUAUAAAGCUAAAUGAUUACGUUUAAUGUUUAUUACCAUAAUAGUGUUUUGGUAAGUUUCUACCUUGUGUGGUUGUUUGGGUUGGAAACAUUUGUUUCCUUAAUAUAUGUAAUAGUUUUUGGAAAACAUUGUCUUCAUGAAUCUAUCUUACUAGCCUACUAUUCUAUUGAGUUGGUAA